rnacentral:misc_RNA from 1 species
AAGUCGGAACAAGGUUUCCGCAGGUGAACCUGCAGAAGGAUCAUUACAAAUCUUGAGUUGGUCCCCCAAGUAAUGGUGGGGGCUGACACAUAGCAAGGUCUUGAUGUGUCUUGGAUGUUUGACUCUCAAUCUGUCAAUCCUUGCUAUGUCCGGACUGACUGUUGAGUCUGCCGCAGGCUCCACUCCUGGUGGUGCACUUCCGUUCUCUUCCUUUAAGCAGCCUUGCGACCAUAUCCCCCAGAACCCAAAAACUUUGAUUUCUCACAAAGUGCCCAGAGUCGCUAACGACUUCAGAGUUUCAAUUGUGACCUUAAAAAUGACAACUUUAACACGGAUCUCUUGGCUCUU